UACGUAGGGACCAAGCGUUGUUCGGAUUUACUGGGCGUAAAGGGCUCGUAGGCGGCCAACUAAGUCGGACGUGAAAUCCCUCGGCUUAACCGGGGAACUGCGUCCGAUACUGGAUGGCUAGAGUGUGGGAGAGGGAUGCGGAAUUCCAGGUGUAGCGGUGAAAUGCGCAGAUAUCAGGAGGAACACCAAUGGCGAAGGCAGCUCGCUGGGACGUGACUGACGCUGAGACGCGAAAGCGUGGGGGAGCAAACAGG
rnacentral:rRNA from 1 species